UACGAAGGGGGCUAGCGUUGCUCGGAAUGACUGGGCGUAAAGGGCGCGUAGGUGGCGACCCAAGUCGAUGGUGAAAGCUCGCCGCUCAACGGCGAGUCGGCCACCGAUACUGGGUUGCUGGAGCACUGUAGAGGCAGAUGGAAUUCCUGGUGUAGCGGUGGAAUGCGCAGAUAUCAGGAGGAACACCGGUGGCGAAGGCGGGGUCUCUGGGCAGUAACUGACGCUGAGGAGCGAAAGCGUGGGGAGCGAACAGG
rnacentral:rRNA from 1 species